GAUGAAGAACGCAGCGAAAUGCGAUAAGUAAUGUGAAUUGCAGAAUUCAGUGAAUCAUCGAAUCUUUGAACGCACCUUGCACCCUUUGGCAUUCCGAAGGGUAUGCUCGUUUGAGUGUCAUUGUACUCUCACUCUCCCGAUGCUUUUGGAUCGGGAGUGGUGGACUUGGGUGUUGGUGCUUUGCUGUGGCUCGCCUCAAAUGGAGUAGUGCAACUCUUGGUUGGACAUAGUACGGCGUGAUAAGUGUCUUCGCCGGCGCCUCAUUAUAGAGGGUGGCCGAUCGGGAGCUCUGUGCUUCAAACCGUCUUCGGACAACAUCUGACAACUUGACCUCAAAUCGAGUAGGACUACCCGCUGAACUUAAGCAUAUCAAUAAGCGGAGGA
rnacentral:misc_RNA from 1 species